UCCCUGGUGGCCUAGUGGUCAAGGAUCCAGCACUGUCACUGCUGUGGCUCAGGGGCACUACUGUGGUGCAGGUUCAAUCCCUGGCCCGGGAG
rnacentral:tRNA from 1 species